rnacentral:piRNA from 1 species
UAGCUGCCCAAAAGGUUUAAGAUGACAA